rnacentral:lncRNA from 1 species
GCUUUCCUUUCUUAUCAAUGAACUGUCUACUUUUCUGCACUUUCCUAUGGGAUUUCAAAGAUUCAAAAAUACAAAGGGAGCGAUACAGAAUUCAGUGCCAAUCUUGUUGGAUUCGCCUCCAAGUCUCCACCACAUGGUACCAAAGAAAACUGGAUGGAAACAAACACCACGGAACUCCCUUGGGGGCGAAAUGAGCUGGUUGAGACCUUUCACUCUGGGGAAAGACAGCUGCCAUGUCGUGAGGACACUCAACCAAUCUACAGCAAGGUCCACAUG